rnacentral:lncRNA from 1 species
UUAUUCCCAUAACUAGCUCAUUUUAAGGUCCUAAUAAUUUAGAAGAUUUGAUUUAAUGAUUUAAGAAGUAAUUAACCAGCAAGUCUUAAGUCCUCCCACUGACUUCACCAAGUCACGAAAAAGACUAGCAAGCUGGUCCAUUAGACUGGUGAGUCUAAAUCCUUCCACUGACUUCACCAAGUCAUGAAGAGGACUAGAGACAAGCUGGUCCAAGGACAUCUAAAUCAGUCGAAUAGAUUUAAUACUAUGAGAAUGAGAGAAGAGAUAGACCAACAGUCAAAAGUCUUCCCACUAACUUCACCA